rnacentral:rRNA from 1 species
UACGUAGGCAGCGAGCGUUGUUCGGAGUUACUGGGCGUAAAGAGCGCGCAGGCGGUCGAUCAAGUCGCGUGUGAAAGCCCCCGGCUCAACUGGGGAGGGUCACGCGAUACUGAUCGACUCGAAGGCAGGAGAGGGUAGUGGAAUUCCCGGUGUAAUGGUGAAAUGCGUAGAUAUCGGGAGGAACACCAGUGGCGAAAGCGCUCUGCUGGACCUUAACUGACACUGAGGGACGAAAGCUAGGGGAGCGAAUGGG